AUUCACAAAGUAUUCUUUCUCGCAAACGGUUCACUUUUGCUAUUCGCUGUGCGUGAGUGCCGUUGACUAACAAACGUGGGGAUAUAUAAAAAACAAUAUCUUCAUGAAAGCCGUAAUCAUAAUCAUAAAAAUAAAAAAUAAUUAUUCAUAAUUAACAACAAAAAACCAAGAAAAAAAAAGUGUAAAAAUUCCUUGUAACAAUAGCAAAACAAAAUUACCUAUAAUAAAAAAGCAAGUUCUUAAGAUAUAUAAAAACGACAAAAGAUAAUUGUUAAUUUAAAUCCCCCUUAAAAGCUAGAAGAAAAAAAAACAAAA